CGUACAAGCAGUGGGAGCACGCUUAGGCGUGUGACUGCGUACCUUUUGUAUAAUGGGUCAGCGACUUAUAUUCUGUAGCAAGGUUAACCGAAUAGGGGAGCCGAAGGGAAACCGAGUCUUAACUGGGCGUUAAGUUGCAGGGUAUAGACCCGAAACCCGGUGAUCUAGCCAUGGGCAGGUUGAAGGUUGGGUAACACUAACUGGAGGACCGAACCGACUAAUGUUGAAAAAUUAGCGGAUGACUUGUGGCUGGGGGUGAAAGGCCAAUCAAACCGGGAGAUAGCUGGUUCUCCCCGAAAGCUAUUUAGGUAGCGCCUCGUGAAUUCAUCUCCGGGGGUAGAGCACUGUUUCGGCAAGGGGGUCAUCCCGACUUACCAACCCGAUGCAAACUGCGAAUACCGGAGAAUGUUAUCAC
rnacentral:rRNA from 1 species